GGAGAUGGGCAAUUCCUUGCUGGAGCUAGAAGAGUGCAGAGGGGCUCCUGGCUGGCAAAGGGAAGACCAAUACAAUGGACAGCUCAGUGCUAGUAGAGACCAGAGGAGCAAGGAAGAGCUCCUGGCUGGCUACUGGGCCUGAGCUUAGAAAAGCCCUGAGCUAAUGCUUCCCACCAGUUCCUUCUCUUUGAAGAGGCAUACAUCAUCCAAUCGCUUCCCAACUGCCAAUUCCUGACCUAGUGGUCCAACCUGGGAAAUGGCAAGGGGACUGUCAGGAAAGGAAAGAAUGACUCAAGAUAAGCCACUUGAGCGUUGUUGAGGGAUAAUGCCAGAGGAGGAUCCUGGCUCCAUCUCCUAUUGAACCUACAGGCUGGGUUUGUCCAGAAGGGCCAAAGCUCAAGAAUGCAGAACAAAAAAAGAACUCUGGCUGUUUAAAAGGAGUGUGUCUCUUAAUGGACUGAAGAGCUGUUCUGGGUAACCAGACUGAGAGACAGGAACUUGCUGGCAUGUCUGAAGAAGUUAGGCCUGCCUAAGUUACCAUAAGGGGAUGGUAUCAACUGUUUGGUUUUUAAACCUUUUUUCCCCUAAAUACUUUGUUCUUACUGCAAAACAAACAACAUUUUUAGUUUAAGAAGGAUGUCUUGUCACUGUAGUCACUCCUAGACACAGGCUCCUGAAGGGAAGAACUGCAGGUGCCACACCCUGUCAGAUCUGGUGCGUAAGCCUGGUGGAUCCACAGGGGACUAUAGACCAGGGCCUGGGGCUAAGAGUGGAGGAAUUGUGAAAUGAUGAAGACAUGAGGUCUGGCACCUGGAAGAUGCAUUCAGAGAUACCGGAGUGGGGCAGUGGUACAGCUAGCCCUGUAAGUGUGACACCCAUUGUGUUGUAUCUCUGGGCAAUUAUUGUUUCGAACUGCAACGGAUUGCCAAUAACUGGAUUUGUUCUUUUCUAAGCCAGAUACAAGCAUGGGCCCUUCCUCCCAAAAGGGGGGGGGGAGAUUUGGUUUUGGGUGUGUGUUUGUUUUUUCACCUUAGAAAAUAGCAGGAAUGUCAAGUUUGGUCUUCCCUUCUUUUUCUGAAAGGCUUCUGGGCCAUCUUGAAGGUGUGUAUUGUGAGUACUCACAUCUUAACUGAAGGGGUGAGGCUAAGCUUUAAUAAAGACCCCCUUUCUCCAAAGAGUACUCUAGACAUCAGAAUUUAAUGUGUUUUCUGCUUGAAAAUCCCCACCCCCCACUUGCUUGAGUUUGUCUCUUGUGAUAUCAUCAUGUAACCAGUCCCCACAGUGUUUUCCAGAACGUUUUUUACUUAAGUUAAAAACAAAACACAACAAAACAGAUUUGUGUUAAACUAAAAA